UACGUAGGGUGCGAGCGUUAAUCGGAAUUACUGGGCGUAAAGGGUGCGCAGGCGGCCAAGCAAGUCGAGUGUGAAAGCCCCGGGCUUAACUUGGGAAUUGCGCUCGAAACUACUUUGCUGGAGUGUGGCAGAGGAAGGUGGAAUUCCACGUGUAGCGGUGAAAUGCGUAGAGAUGUGGAGGAACACCAAUGGCGAAGGCAGCCUUCUGGGCCAACACUGACGCUCAUGCACGAAAGCGUGGGGAGCAAACAGG
rnacentral:rRNA from 1 species